UUUUAUUUAGAGACAGAGGUCGCUUAGCACCUCGCUUUUGCUGAGGCUGGCUUUUGAACUCACAAUCCUCCUGCCUCAGCCUCAGGAGCUGCUGAGAUUAUAGGCGUGACUGUGCCUGGUCCUGCUUUCUGAAUUUGAUUACUGUAAGCACCUCACAUGAAGUGGAAUCAUAAAGUACUUGGUGUUUUACUGGCUUAUCAUUUUACUUAAUGUAAUGUUUUCAAGGUUCAUUUUGAACUGGCACAGAUCCAAAUUUCUUUCCUUAAAAGCCAUUUUAUAUACACAGUAUAUUUUGUUCAUCCACACAUCUGAUGGUAAAUACAUGGAUUGUUUCUACCUUUUGUUAUUGUGAAUGGUGUUGCCAGGAAUGCACAUAUAUCUCUGAAUUCCUACUUUUAAAUCUUUUGGAAAUGUCCCCAGUGGUGGAAUUGCUGAAGAACCUGGUUGCCCAGGUAUGGUUCACCAUUUUGCAUUCCUGUCAACAGUGUGUGUGAGGGUUCUAAUUUCUUCCCAUCCAUACCAGUGCUUGUUAUUUUGUAAUUUUUUAGAUUAAAGAAGAAUAUCCUGGUGGAUAUGUCACCUUCAUUUUUGAAACAUAAUUCUGCUAGGUGUAAACUUUUGAGUUAAGGGUCUUUUGUUUCCAAACUUUUAAAGAUAACAUCCACUGUCCUCUGGCUUGCAAAAUGUCUGCUGCUAUUAUUAAUCUUUGUUCCCCUGUGUAUGCUUUUACCCCUUCUUGUUUUCUUCAAGAUUUUCUCUAUUAGCAAUUUGACUAUUAAUUACCUAGGAUUUCUCCCCCACUUCAUUAUAUUUAUCCUGUUUGGAUUUUUCUUGGCUUCUUGUUUAUUGUCUUUAACCAUAAUUUUGGAAAAUUUCCAGAAUUAUUAACUGUAUCUACUUUGUGUGUUUUCUCUUUGAGAUUCAAGUUAUAGUGUUAGACUGGAUUAUCUGAACAUGUUAGAUGCUCUGUUCUUUUGGUGCACCGUUUUUUUCUUCCUUAUGCUUCGGUUUGGAUAAUUUUUAUUUAUGUAACUUGAAAUUUAGAUUCUUUUCUCUGCUAUGUUUAGUCUAUAAAAGUUGACCAAAAAAAUAUUAUUUAUGUUGAUAGCAUGUGUUUUUCUCCCUGGAUUUCCACUUGGAUGUUUUUCAUAGUUUCCAUCUCUGCUGAUCUUCCCCGUCUGUUCAUGCACUUGGUGACACAUUCUGUCCUAUACACUCCCGUGCCCUGACAGUGGGUAAUCGUUUCCUGUGUUGGUCUCCUCAGAGCAGAUUAUCUGCCUUAGGCAUUCAGUUCAUCUCUUGGCUUUGUACCCUCAGCUCCCUAAACGGUUCAGAAAAGUUAGGGUUUUGUAAUUUAUCCUGCUUUUUUCUCCACCCUGUUAGGGUGGGAAUGACUUUCUUGCAGCUUUCUACACUGUGACUAAAAGCAGGAGUGAUAAGUCAGUUUGUAUUCAGACUUUCAGCAUUUCAUAUGAAGACAGACUGACUGCUGUUUAAAGAUGACAUUAAAGUGUCAGUAAAUGACUUUAUCAUCAAGGCAGCAGCUGUUACUCUUAAAAUGAAGAAAUUGAAAAUUAAAGGGGCUCACAAACUAAUAUUAGCAGUUUAAAGACCAUUUAAUCAACAAACACUAAUUGAAGAACCGGGUAUGGUGGUGCACACCUAUAAUCCCAGCUACUUGGGAGGCUGAGGCAGGAGGAUCACAAGUUCAAGGCCAGGCUCAGCAACUUAGCAAGGCCCUAAAAAACUUAGUGACACCCUAUCUUAAAAUAAAUAUGGCUCAGUGGUUAAAGGGUCCUGGGUUAAAAAAACAAAUACUAAUUGAACCACUGUCUUAUGCUAAAUAUAUUUUAAGCAUUUAAGCAUUAGAGAGUAAUGAACAAAAGCCUAUGUAGUUUCUGCUCUCAUGGGUAUGAUAUUCUAGAGGGGGUCCAGUAAACAUGUCAGGUGGUGAAAAUGUUAAGGAGAAAAAGAAAGCAGGAUAAAGAGCCAAAAUACUAGGUGCUGUUUUUUAAGAGUUAAGGAAAGCCUCUCUGGCAAGGCUACAGAUAACAGAGGCAGGAAUCAACAAAAGAGGGGGAGUGAGCAAACUAGGUGUGUGGUGGAGGAGCAAACCAGAGGCUCCGAGGACUGUGUUGUGUUAUCCAGAGUCACAGCCCUGAGGGUGUAGUGUGUCAAGAGUGGACAGAGUGGAGAGAUUUUUAAAGAAGCAAAAAAGAAGGAUUCAAAGGGAAACCAAAGGCCUCUUUGAGGCCUUCUCAGCCGUGGUGAAGACUAGUGCUUUUAUUAUGAAUGAGAAAGAUGCUUUUGGAAGUUUUAAGCAAAGGACUAAUGUGAUCAGACUUACUUUUAGAGGUGGGAGGCUGCUCUGGUCAUGUGUGACUAUAGCCAGUGAGGAGGCUGCAGAAGAUGACCGUGGCUCCGACUUGGGGUAGCAGUGGAGCUGCAGUGAAGGGAGGUUUUGGUUACAUUUCAGAAGUAGAGCCAACGGCCCUUAAUAAUGGAUUUGAUAUGGGACCUGGGAGAAAAAAUAAGGAGUUCUUUUCAAGCAGUGGGAUGGGUAGACUUACUCCAUUACUAAGACUGGGAAAACGGGGAGAGAAGCAAGUUUGAGGUAGGGAGUCUCUAGUUUGCUUUUGGGUGUGUUAAGUUUGAGGAGCCUAAUAGGUGUUGCAGUUUGGCUAGCAGGAAGACAGGUGGAGUGGAGGUGGCUGGCUGGAGAUGUAAUCUAGAGCCCAGCUUCCUGCCUUCCCACUCAAUGCCAUUUUCCAUCCUGCCUUCUCUCUGUAAUGAGGCUGUUUUCUAAGUUGCUACUUGUUUAAUAACAUAUUUGAAUUGCACUUAAAAUGGAUUCAUUUUUAUUUCUCAAAAAAUACAAUAAUGGAGAACUUUGAAGGCAAGCCUUUUCAACAUUUUUUUUGAUGUCAUAUGGCUUUUCUCUUAACCAAAUAUUUUGAACUAUAGUAAUGACUUUUCUAAUCACAAAUCAUUUUUAUACUCCCUAAAAAUGACUCUCUAGUGGUCAUUAGCUGUUUGCUAAGUUUCUUUUGUAUAUCAGAAACUAUAAGUAAUUAUGAUUUAAAUUUUAUACUAGCUUUGUCAGGUCUUUCUUUUAUUUGUUUUCUCUGUGCUCAUUUCAAUAAGGAUUUUUAUUUCUUAAAGUUUUAUAGAACUCACCAGUGAAAUUUUGAACCUAGUUCUGUUUUGAGGAGGGCAUCCUGGCUGUUUUUCUAUGUUUUUCCCCUAUAGUUAUUGAUCUCUUUAACUUUUAAUUUUAUCUUAAACCAAUUAUGAAAACUUGUAUGUUCCCAGAAAAAUCAACUUUUGCAUCUAUAUUCUCAAACUUAUUAGCUUAGCAUCAUUUAAAUUUAUUUCUUAUAAUUAUUUAAAUGUUCUCAUUGUCCGAAGCUAUUUGAAACUCUGUAUUGUUUCUAUAAUUGCAUGUUUUGUGUUUUCAGUUUAUUUUAUUUUGCAAUUUUUCCUUUAUUUUCUUAGACUCAUUUGGUUAGAAAUAUUUGGUUAGAAAACUGAAUGUAUAAUUCAUUUUAAUUCUAUUUUUAUUAACAAGGCUUAAGAUUAUAAUAAAUUUUGCUUUGGAUGCAACUUAGACCGUGUCCCAUGGUUUUUUAUUACAUAAUUUCCUAAUUGAAUUUAUUUGCCAGAUAGUCUUCAUUUGUGAGGGGUUUUUGGUUUGGCUUGGGUUUUAGUUUUACUUUAGUGUUGUCAGAAUUUAAAAAUCUUACAGGGGUUUGAACCUCAUUUUUUAUUUUGACAUUAUCUCAUUGUUGAUUGAAUGAAUGACCUGAGCCUUAAAAGAUGGAGAAAUGUAAAGAGCAAUGAAGAAAUGAUGUGAAGGCCAUCCUGAAAAGUGCACAAGCCCAGCAUGGCAGUGAGAGGUUGGACCAAGAGAGAAUUCAUCUUAGGGAAGUCAUUACAAAUAAAAUGACAUCAGUACUGUGGAAUCAAAAUUGUGCACCACCGUUCUUAAAUGGCAUAGUGAACAGCUUGGAUCUUAUUCUGUAGAAAGCAAAGAGUUUUGGGGAUGAGGGCUGGGGUUGUGGCUCACUGGCACAGCACUUACUGACAUGUAUGGGGCCCUGGGUUUGAUUCUCAGCACCACAUAUAAAUAACUAAAAUAAAUAUCUGUUGACAACUAAAAAUACAUUUAAAAAAAAAGAAUUUUGGGAAUGAGAAAUUAGCUUUUUAUGUCUAUUUUCAUUUCUCUCUCAUCUUGUGAUAUUUGACACAAUGCACUAUUUCCAUGCAUAUAGUCAUCCCAUCUGUUUUUCCCUCCAUCUUUCAAUAUAGUUGUUUGUAUGUUAAAUGUGUACAUGCUCAUAUGUAGUAUGUAUCUUAUGAAGCUUGGGAAACCUCUUUAAAUUGGGUAGUCAUUUAUUGAGGGUUUGCUAAUAUAUACUCCAGAGCUGUGCUAAAAAGUCAGGCUUCCUUUAUGCCAAAGGAAUGUAGUUGAAUAUCACUAACCCUUUCUGCUCCCUUCUCCCCCUCAAGGUCAUAUUGCAUAUCAUGAGGCAGGAAGCAUAAUGAUCAUUAACUGUCUUCUGGCAAUUAGUUUUAAUAAAGGAAACCCUUUUUUAGCCAUGAUGUAAAAAGAUCAGAACAUACACCAUCAGGAUUUCCUCAAGCUUGCUUCAAAAAAUAUGUGUUUAAAAAAAUUAUUUUUCUUAAACAUAAAUAAUAAACAACAUAGAGAUUGGAACCAUGUUAUGUAUUUUCUUCUAUCCAACUAUAUUCACUUUGGAAAAUAGAUAAAAUGUUAAUUAUUUUUCUGUAACCACCUCAGUCUAAAGUUUUAAUAACAUGUUUUUUUCUGC